rnacentral:piRNA from 1 species
UGGGAUGUCAAAGCACGAGGGUCACUUG